rnacentral:rRNA from 1 species
UACGUAGGGCGCAAGCGUUGUCCGGAAUUAUUGGGCGUAAAGAGCUCGUAGGCGGUUUGUCGCGUCUGCCGUGAAAGUCCGGGGCUCAACUCCGGAUCUGCGGUGGGUACGGGCAGACUAGAGUGCGGUAGGGGUGACUGGAAUUCCUGGUGUAGCGGUGGAAUGCGCAGAUAUCAGGAGGAACACCGAUGGCGAAGGCAGGUCACUGGGCCGCAACUGACGCUGAGGAGCGAAAGCAUGGGGAGCGAACAGG